ensembl:lncRNA
GAGGCGGUGCCCGAGGCUGUGCCCGAUGCCGAAGCGGUGCCCGAUGCUGUUCCGGAGGCCGAGGCGGUGCCCGAUGUUGUUCCGGAGACCGAGGCGGGGCCCGAUGCUGUUCCGGAGGCCGAGGCGGAGGCCGAGGCGGUGCACGAGAUGGUUCCGGAGGUCGAGGCGGUGCCCGAUGCGCAGGCCGAGGCGAUGCCCGUGUCCAGGGCCGUUCCCGAGGCGGUGUCCUUGUCCCAUGCCGUUCCGGAGGCCGCUCCCAGGGCGGUGCCCGAGGUCGUGCCCGAGGUCGUUCCCGAGGCGGUGCCCGAACCCGAGGUGAUACCCGUGUCCAAGGCCGUUCCCGAGGCGGUGCCCUUGUCCAAGGCCGUUCCCGAGGCGGUGUCCAAUGCCGUGACCGGGCCAUCGCCACAGUCUGCUCCUCACUGGCUCCCCGAAUGGCAGGUUCCGUUCGGGCCACUCAAAUGGCGAAUUCCUCCCUGGCCAUCUGCACAACGAGAAUGGACUGAUCCACCGUGGCCACCUGAACUGCCUGGCCCCUCGUGGUCCCCUGAACUUUUGGGUCCACCGUGGCCACCUGAACUGCCUGGUCCCUCGUGGUCCCCUGAACUUUCGGGUCCACCAUGGCCCCCUGAUCUGACCGAGCCACCUGGGCUGCCAGGGGAGCCAUCGCUGCCGGUCCCAGUUCCCUUACACGGGCCUGGC